rnacentral:lncRNA from 1 species
AUGACGUGGAAUGAGCUGGAAUGCCUCUCCAGAUGCUCCAAGGUCGGCCUCCAGCCACCUACUCCAGAGCCACAGCCUCCUCCCAUCGCGAUGGGUCCCGGGCCCUUCCCGAUGGCUGCUGGGCAUGGAGAAAGUGGAGUGACCCCCGCUUCCCGCCGCCUGGAAAAUGCAGAGAACGGGGGUUCUGAAGUGGGUGUGGGAGAAGCAGGCUUCACUCUGGACAGGUCACACGCGGCAUGGCCUUGGCGCAGCUCAGUGGGAGCACUGGGCUGGCUCGGGCUGUUUGCACCUGGAGCUCAGGGACGUUCCAGACUGGACGAAAGUGGGGCUGCUCGACUGAGGGCUGUGUGAGGUGAGGCCGGCCGCUGAGAGGUGGCAGGGAUGGCGCAGGCUGGUGCCACUUCUCAGAGUCCACGUCGUUACUCUCCAGUGACUGCCUUGUGGCUGCUGCAACAAAGGGCUGCAAACGGGUGGCCUUAGGACAAGACAAAUGCAUUCACUUAUGGCUGCGGAGGCCAGAGGGUCACAGCAAGGUGCCGGCGGCCCGCGCUCCCUCAAGGGCUCCGGGGAGCAGCCUUCUCGCUUCCCCAGCGUCUCACACCCAGGGGUCCUUGGCUGGUGGCCGCAUCCACCCAUCUCUGCCUCAGUCCUCACAUCGCCUUCUCUGUUAUUUGAGUCUGCAAAUCUGCACCUCUCUUCUCUAAGCAUGCUUGUGACUGGACUGAGGCCCCAGCCUGAUGAUCUGGGAUAGUCGCUCCAUGUCAGGGUCCUUCAUCACGUCUCCAGAGAACUUCCUCCUCGUGAGGUCAAUCGCAGCUUCUCACAGUUUUCUCCACACACGGAGGCCUGGGGAGACAGUAUGGAGAACAGAGAGCUCGAGUUUGCAGUCAGAGCUGCACUUGGAACUGAGUGCCUGGGCUGAUGGACCUGGUCUGGGAGUGCUGGUCAUUUGCCCGAGGCCCGUCUCCGGGCUGCGGGGCCUCAGUUGACUCACCCACGCGGGUGAUGACCUUGCCCGUGUCCCUGUCCUCGGCUUGCUCAGAGCUUUAUGAGCACACAUGUCAGGUUCGUGGUCGGGAGCUCGACACACACAGGCCUGGACAGAUCUGAGCCCCGGGCACGCAAGGCCCCCCUUAGAGGUGCCCUGGCUCGUUUAGCCGUAUCUCAGGCCGGGGCUCUUCUGGGAGGGACCGGCAUGGAGAAGGAGAACCAUGGUGUCUAGGUGACCUCCAGCGCUGUGGCAGGGCUGCGCUGGGAGAGGGAGGAGGCGGAGAGCCAGGCCAGGCUGGGCCAGGAGGCUGCGGGGGGAAGAGGGCCCGCAGGCUCCAGCACUAAUGAGCCUUCGCUGCCC